UAUUGCACAAUGGGGGAAACCCUGAUGCAGCGACGCCGCGUGAGUGAAGAAGUAUUUCGGUAUGUAGAGCUCUAUCAGCAGGGAAGAAAAUGACGGUACCUGAUUAAGAAGCCCCGGCUAACUACGUGCCAGCAGCCGCGGUAAUACGUAGGGGGCAAGCGUUAUCCGGAUUUACUGGGUGUAAAGGGAGCGUAGACGGCAGCACAAGUCUGGAGUGAAAUGCCGGGGCUUAACCCCGGAACUGCUUUGGAAACUAUGUGACUGGAGUGCAGGAGAGGUGAGCGGAAUUCCUAGUGUAGCGGUGAAAUGCGUAGAUAUUAGGAGGAACACCAGUGGCGAAGGCGGCUCACUGGACUGUAACUGACGUUGAGGCUCGAAAGCGUGGGGAGCAAACAGG
rnacentral:rRNA from 1 species